AUAAUGACUAUUAGAGAGCCAUGAAGGAAGCCAUGACUGCUGGUGGCCAACAUGCUACCCUGGAAAGAGGUAUUCUGAAAAGAGGCCUGCAUCUAUGGAAAGAAACCUUAACCAAUAUGAAGCCUCUUGAACCACAGUGAGAUUUAAGCCAUUCAUGGAGCUGACUGCCCCAUCUGCAAACAAAUGGCGUGGAAAAAUUUAACUUUCCAGUCACUGAAAGCUCAUCUCUGGGGUUUGAUCCAACACAAAAAUGGGAGCCAGAUAAAGAGCAGCACUGAGCUAAGUAAUGCCUUACAGGAAUUAGCACAGUGUCUUCUGAAACCUAAAUGUAUGAAAACUGGCUGGCACUGCAGCUUUUGUUCCUGUCAGCAGCAGCAAAAGCAGGAGAGCAUGAAAAAUGUGGUCUCUGAGCAUUUUCAGGUGAGACAAAAUGGGAGAAGAGGUGCCAAACCUCAGGUGUAGAUAAAUGAUUUCUACAGCGGUCAGCUGACAGGCUGGCACUACAGUGUAUUAUAAAUCAUCCUGCCUAUACAUUAAAUACUGGUUUCAGCUGCUCCUGGUGAAAGCAAAAAGUACAAGCUACCUUACCAUGUACAAGAAAGCUUUCAUCCUGCAGUGGAUUAACAAUACAGCACAAUUUAGUUUCCUAUUUUUAAUGUUACUUCGCUCUGAUAUUAUACCAGAAUCUACUGGAAAAGGAAAUAUAAAUCUCUACACUCUAAUGUAUAGUCAAAUAGGAUUUUUGAAUAUGUAAAUUGUAAACUAGGUGGAACUGGAAACUCAUUAGUUCAGUAAAAGGUUGUUUUCAAGUAAUAUUUAAUAGACUCUAACCACUAAUUUUAUCAGCAGGUUAUGCUUGGUACAUCUAUCAGUGGAAUUUAGCAAGGCUGAAUAGGACAAUGUGUCCUGGGUUGACAAGAGCAACAAUGCACUGAAAAAAGAGAAGGUGCAGUUUAUAAACAACUGCUGCCUACAAGGCAGAAGAGAAUAAAACUUCAGUAUGGUCAAUUAAAAUCA
rnacentral:lncRNA from 1 species